rfam:Arabidopsis thaliana ecotype C24, whole genome shotgun sequence.
GAAUCGUUAAAAUUUGACGAAAGGGUACGUAAAAGAACUUCCUUUUUGAUGAUUUAUCUAUAUAUUAGACGUAAUUGAUUGUUUCUGAUUUAAGUAUCGUGGCA